GAUGAACGCUGGCGGCAUGCCUAACACAUGCAAGUCGAUCGGUAAGGCUCUUCGGAGUACACGAGAGGCGGACGGCUGAGUAACGCGUAGGAACACACCCUGCAGUGAGGGAUAAGACACCGAAAGGUGUUCUAAUACCGCAUACGGUCCUCGGAUUAAAGCAUUUAUGCGCUGAAGGAGUGGCCUGCGUCAUAUUAGAUAGUUGGUGAGGUAAUGGCUCACCAAGUCGAUGAUGUGUAGCUGGUCUGAGAGGAUGAUCAGCCAGACUGGAACUGAGACACGGUCCAGACUCCUACGGGAGGCAGCAGUGAGGAAUAUUUCACAAUGAGCGAAAGCUUGAUGGAGCAAUGCCGCGUGCAGGAUGAAGGCCCUCGGGUUGUAAACUGCUUUUAUAAGAGAAGAUUAUGACGGUAACUUAUGAAUAAGGGACGGCUAACUACGUG
rnacentral:rRNA from 1 species